CAGUCCACGCCGUAAACGAUGGUCACUAGCUGUUCGAACUUCGGUUUGAGUGGCUAAGCGAAAGUGAUAAGUGACCCACCUGGGGAGUACGUUCGCAAGAAUGAAACUCAAAGGAAUUGACGGGGGCCCGCACAAGCGGUGGAGCAUGUGGUUUAAUUCGAUGAUACGCGAGGAACCUUACCAGGGCUUAAAUGUAGUGUGACAGGACUAGAGAUAGUUUUUUCUUCGGACACAUUACAAGGUGCUGCAUGGUUGUCGUCAGCUCGUGCCGUGAGGUGUCAGGUUAAGUCCUAUAACGAGCGCAACCCCUGUUGUUAAUUGCCAGCGAUUCAAGUCGGGAACUCUAACAAGACUGCCAGUGCAAACUGUGAGGAAGGUGGGGAUGACGUCAAAUCAUCACGGCCCUUACGUCCUGGGCUACACACGUGCUACAAUGGUAGGGACAGAGAGCAGCCACUGGGCGACCAGGAGCGAAUCUAUAAACCCUAUCACAGUUCGGAUCGG
rnacentral:rRNA from 1 species